rnacentral:misc_RNA from 1 species
GCGAUUUAUGUGUUCCAUUCAACGGUUUAGCAUCUUUAUCGUACGAGUUAGCGAGCAAAGAGAUCAACCUGCGUAGCAGAUUUCUUCUAAACAGAAAUAUUGCAGAUACACCUCUUCUGUUGAAGUAAUCCACAAUCUCCUCAUGAUACUCCAAAGCUCCCUGAUUAAGCAUCCACUUAAAUCCAAUUGCAGCUGUACAUUCAUUCUUUGAUGAACUACUAAUCCAAUCAAGAUUAAAGACAUUAUCCAUAAUUUCCAAUAUUACUGAAGCAUUGGUCCUCCUUGAUUUUGCACCAAAAAUUUCUCCAUUAGAACUCACAUUCAU